UAAUUCUAGGUCACUGUUUCUACCGGAGCUCGUCUUCAAGAUCCCACGCGGCCCAUCGAAGCGCCGCCGAAACCCUAAAUUCUUCUAUGGAAUGGCGGAAUUGAACUUGUCGGUCUUCUAUGAAGUUCCUCCUCUUUUGCCUUCUGUGGUCACUUGCUCGUUUUUACAGGAAGAAGAAGUUACACUCAUUGGCAUCCACUGUUAUCCAACCAUCUCUGCAGACUACAAAGAGCCUGCGCAGACAGACUGCAGUAUCUCAAUUUUCUCUGCUGUGGUAGUGAGGAACCGUCGCCAUGGAAACUAGAGAAGCAAACCACCACAACAGUCAGAUUAUCGAACGAGUCCAAUCGCAAAGCACGCAGGACGAGCUCUCGAGCACACCGCUCUGGGUCAUCGUGCCGUUGAAGCCCCUGUCGAACUACAUUGACUGCUUGCUGGCUCGACAUCACAUCCCAAAUCCCAUCACAAGCUAUGAUCAAGAACUCAUCCUCCUCUGUAAGAACAACCUGCUUGCAUUCUGGUUCUGCAAUGAGAGGUGAAGGAGAGCCAUGUGGGAGCUUCAUGUCCCAAUCCCCCAACGCCCGCGACACCGAUAAAACACCGUUCAGAUAGCCACCAUCAACAUAGCCACCCAGCUCUUCCACCCGUUGCUUCUCCAGCGAAUAAAUCGGCCGGUGGUCUUGUGACAUAUCUACUGCCUCUCCAUUCCGGCUGAGAACAGCCCGGCAAUCUCCAGCAUUCGCCACCAUUAAAUGCCUGAAGAACAGAUAAUACACCAUUAAAUGCAAUCAGCUCUUGAUUGUCGAGGAGGGUUGGGAGGGAGUCCCACAUUCUAAUGGUACGAGACGUUUUGGGAAGCUCAAACUAAAACCAUUAGAGUUUAUGCUCAAAGUGGGACGAAGGAUCAUUACAUGGGGGAGGAAGAACAUACCUUCCAAGCACAAGGGCUGUCAGGGCCGUCGUCCCACACGAAUUACUGACACCGGAAUCAUCAGCUAGAGCUUGAUCAGCCAGAAGAAAUGCUUUCCGGAGGCAAUUUUGUAUCUCCUCCGGCAAGACUUCAUCGAAAUCUGGCAUUUGAGGAAAAUUGACAUCCUCAAAAAAGAGUCUAAGAACAUUCUUUCUGAUAUAAGCUGCUGCUUCAGGUCCUCCAUGUCCAUCAAACACCUGAAAAAGCAUAGGAACUCCACUAAGAUCAUGUCCAUAGUACACAAAGACAACCCAAAUUCAAA